UGGGAAGUCGCGGCGGCGGCGGCGACUGAUGGCUGCCCGGCCAGGUAAGCUCAGCUCCGUCGCGCCUUGAAGGAGGGGCGCAAAGAAGCCCGAAGACUCGCCGCUCUCGAGGAGAGGCUCUUGCGCGGGCCAGGCGCCCCGCUGGGCUCGGAGCGGCCGGACGAGGCUCCGCUGCGCGUCCGCCCUGAGCGCGGCUCCUCGGCUCUCGCCAGACGCGCGGAGCGGCUCUGCCAACGCGCCUCCAGCUCCCUGCGUCCCGCCGCGCGGAGCAAGCCUGGCCCCGGGGCGGCCAGGACACCGCAGCAGCCGCGGGCAAGCCCUGGGCUCGGAGGGCUCGUCACAUCUCCCUGGCGGCUCAGCCGGGCCCGAGAGGAAGGCUGUUGAAGGAGCUGAUGUAAAAUCUGUGGCAAAAUGUUCCAGGGUGUGGCCAAAGGGGCAUAUUGGAAGUGCAUGGCAGAAAGGCUCCAGCAAAGGAUGCUUGUACCCAGGGGACUCCAGUUUGACAGCCACAACUCUUAAAGUUUUCACAGGAGCUGUGGCCUCAGUGUUUGGAUUCUUGGUGCCAGUUCUGCUCAGAUGAUGGUUGCAGAGCAUUUUGACACUCAGCUCCUUGUAGAUGAAAGCAGGAGGCUCUGGGAAUUCCAUGCCGUGUGCUGGCUGUGGCAGUUGGAGAUUCUGCAGCCGCUUAACCCUGGAGACCAGACUCCUUCUCAAGAACUUUCGUGUAGCAAAUUCAUCUUGCAUCUGAAGUACAGACAGUCCUGGGCUGUGGUGAACAUCCUUGGAGGUUUUCCACUAAAGAAAGUGCAAUACCGUCUCGGAAUGAUGCAACAUGGUUGACAACACCAGCAAAAGACUUAAAAGCAUAUGAAGGUGUUCACUUUGGAGUCAGUGCUUUCAGUGGCUGGAUCAAAGAUGUUUCUUCCUGCUCUCCUAUCAAGGAGUGCCCCAUUAUGGCUUUGAAGUGUUGAAAAGAAUCAUUCUGGGUCUGAUGGAUGAAGUGACCAGUUGGUGAAAUCGCUCUUGCCAGCAUUAUCUACUCCUUGUAUCCAGUUGAAGAGUUCAUACUGCCACCCUGCCCUGAAAGCUGGAGCAACCAGGUGAAAACUGAUGAUGCAAAGAAAUGUUGCCUCUGUUCACCUGGCCAUCAUGGAGCUGAAGAAUCUUCAUCAGCACACUCUGGGCAACUACCUGGUGCAUUUUCAUCCUGCAGAAGAUGUGGACAAGAGGCAAGAUGUGACUUACCUGCUUACUUGGACAAUCUGGCUAUCCAUCACCGCUUUUCAAGGUUUUACCCCCAUCAGGAUGCUGACCCUGAAGCGGCCCAGUUCCAGAUGUCAUUGAGGGCCUCAUUGCCUUUGCAAAUAAUGACCAUAGUGCCUGGUCUAGAAGAGGAGAGAUUAUCUUCCAGAAUGUUUUGCAGAUAAUGGGAUUGGACUCAGUCUAGCUAGAUGAAAGCUGCAGUCUGGAAGUAAUUCAUUCCGUCUUUGUCGGUGAAGAUCACAGUGCUGGAUCUUGGAGAGGACAAAACAGCUCCUGGGAGAGAGGCGCCGAUGGUGAAUGUGGGACACUGCCCUGAAACAAUGUGCUGUCAGGAGUAGACAUUCAAAUGAAGUACAUUCGGAUCUGGAUUCAGUUUCUCAGGAUGGCAGACGUAGAUAACCAUGCUGGGGUGGCUUUUGAUAAGGCACCUUUGCUAUGCUUAGAUAUAAAGGAGACCCCAAUCCCGUUUGGAUUAAAAUCUACAGUCAAGGUGCUGAUCAGAAAUCCACGUCUCUCCAAUAUUAUAUCCCCCUGAUACUGAGAGAGUACAGAUGAUGGACGAUGUGACAAGACUUUUUUGGAACAACCCAGGAUGCAAUUCGGCAAACUCUUGAAAGCUUGCUAAAUCAGCUAUAUCGUGCAUCGCCUUAAUUAUAGGGUGGCAACAUUAUAUUAUGAGAUGGUUGUUAUAGGCUUUUUAUUGGAAAAUGCCUUGGAAAUAUAACAUUCAUUUUAUGACUAAUAAAUAUAUUUUACUGUAUUCUGAUGAAGUGGGGGGGGCAAGU